AUUGAACGCUGGCGGCAUGCUUUACACAUGCAAGUCGAACGGCAGCGCGGGCUUCGGCCUGGCGGCGAGUGGCGAACGGGUGAGUAAUACAUCGGAACGUGCCCAGUAGUGGGGGAUAGCUCGGCGAAAGCCGGAUUAAUACCGCAUACGACCUGGGGGUGAAAGCGGGGGAUCUUCGGACCUCGCGCUAUUGGAGCGGCCGAUGGCAGAUUAGCUAGUUGGUGGGGUAAAGGCCUACCAAGGCGACGAUCUGUAGCUGGCCUGAGAGGACGACCAGCCACACUGGGACUGAGACACGGCCCAGACUCCUACGGGAGGCAGCAGUGGGGAAUUUUGGACAAUGGGCGAAAGCCUGAUCCAGCAAUGCCGCGUGUGUGAUGAAGGCCUUCGGGUUGUAAAGCACUUUUGGCGGGAACGAAAAGGACUGUGCCAAUACCACGGUUCGAUGACGGUACCCGCAGAAUAAGCACCGGCUAACUACGUG
rnacentral:rRNA from 1 species